rnacentral:rRNA from 1 species
GAUGAACGCUGGCGGCGUGCCUAAUACAUGCAAGUCGAGCGAACAGACGAGGAGCUUGCUCCUCUGACGUUAGCGGCGGACGGGUGAGUAACACGUGGAUAACCUACCUAUAAGACUGGGAUAACUUCGGGAAACCGGAGCUAAUACCGGAUAACAUGUUGAACCGCAUGGUUCAACAGUGAAAGACGGUCUUGCUGUCACUUAUAGAUGGAUCCGCGCCGCAUUAGCUAGUUGGUAAGGUAACGGCUUGCCAAGGCAACGAUGCGUAGCCGACCUGAGAGGGUGAUCGCCCACACUGGAACAGAGACACCGUCCAGACUCCUACGGGAGGCAGCAGUAGGGAAUCUUCCGCAAUGGGCGAAAGCCUGACGGAGCAACGCCGCGUGAGUGAUGAAGGUCUUCGGAUCGUAAAACUCUGUUAUUAGUGAAGAACAAAUGUGUAAGUAACUAUGCACGUCUUGACGGUACCUAAUCAGAAAGCCACGGCUAACUACGUG